rnacentral:misc_RNA from 1 species
GCAAGAGGAAAUAAACUAAUCAGAACCCAUGGAAGGACCAGUGGAACUCAUAUUGGCUCCACAAAAAUAACCCAGCAAAACUGCUAAUUCAAUGACAGAAAAAACACAGAACCUGCAACAAAAGAAUAAAUUUAACUUCCACAAUCUAGUUGAAUCACAGGGAUUACUAAAUUUAUUCUCAGAUGCAAAACACAGCCUCUCCAGUUUCCACCAUUA